rnacentral:rRNA from 1 species
CGGGUGCUAUACAUGCAAGUGGAACGCAUGAUUGAUACCGGAGCUUGCUCCACCAUUAAUCAUGAGUCGCGAACGGGUGAGUAACGCGUAGGUAACCUACCUCAUAGCGGGGGAUAACUAUUGGAAACGAUAGCUAAUACCGCAUAACAGUAUUUAUCGCAUGGUAAAUGCUUGAAAGGAGCAAAUGCUUCACUAUGAGAUGGACCUGCGUUGUAUUAGCUAGUUGGUGGGGUAACGGCUCACCAAGGCAUCGAUACAUAGCCGACCUGAGAGGGUGAUCGGCCACACUGGGACUGAGACACGGCCCAGACUCCUACGGGAGGCAGCAGUAGGGAAUCUUCGGCAAUGGGGGGAACCCUGACCGAGCAACGCCGCGUGAGUGAAGAAGGUUUUCGGAUCGUAAAGCUCUGUUGUAAGAGAAGAACGUGUGUGAGAGUGGAAAAUUCACACAGUGACGGUAACUUACCAGAAAGGGACGGCUAACUACGUGCCAGCAGCCGCGGUAAUACGUAGGUCCCGAGCGUUGUCCGGAUUUAUUGGGCGUAAAGCGAGCGCAGGCGGUUUGAUAAGUCUGAAGUAAAAGGCUGUGGCUUAACCAUAGUAUGCUUUGGAAACUGUCAAACUUGAGUGCAGAAGGGGAGAGUGGAAUUCCAUGUGUAGCGGUGAAAUGCGUAGAUAUAUGGAGGAACACCGGUGGCGAAAGCGGCUCUCUGGUCUGUAACUGACGCUGACGCUCGAAAGCGUGGGGAGCAAACAUGAUUAGAUACCCUGGUAGUCCACGCCCUAAACGAUGAGUGCUAUGUGUUGGGUCCUUUCCGGGACUCAGUGCUGUAGCUAACGCAUCAAGCACUCCGCCUGGGGGAGUACGACCGCAACGUUGAGACUCACACGAACUUGACUGGGGCCCGCUCAUAACAGUGGCAGCAUGCUGGUUUUAAUUCUCAAACAACAUCGAGAAACCUUAUCGGGAUCUAGACAUCUACAGUCGAGCGUCCGGAGAGAUAGUAUGUCUUCUUCUGUACUAGUGAAGUAACCGUCGACUGCAGUGGAAGUUGUCAGU